rnacentral:rRNA from 1 species
UACAGAGGUGGCAAGCGUUUGUUCGGAAUUACUGGGCGUAAAGGGCGCGUAGGCGGUCUUGUCAGUCCCUUGUGAAAUCCCCCGGGCUCAACCCGGGAACUGCGUCCGAUACUGGAAGGCUUGAAUCCGGGAGAGGGAUGUGGAAUUCCAGGUGUAGCGGUGAAAUGCGUAGAUAUCUGGAGGAACACCGGUGGCGAAGGCGGCUACCUGGCCCAAUACUGACGCUGAGGUGCGAAAGCGUGGGGAGCAAACAGG